rnacentral:rRNA from 1 species
GGUUAAGCGACUAAGCGUACACGGUGGAUGCCCUGGCAGUCAGAGGCGAUGAAGGACGUGCUAAUCUGCGAUAAGCGUCGGUAAGGUGAUAUGAACCGUUAUAACCGGCGAUUUCCGAAUGGGGAAACCCAGUGUGUUUCGACACACUAUCAUUAACUGAAUCCAUAGGUUAAUGAGGCGAACCGGGGAACUGGAAACAUCUAAGUACCCCGAGGAAAAGAAAUCAACCGAGAUUCCCCCAGUAGCGGCGAGCGAACGGGGAGCAGCCCAGAGCCUGAAUCAGUGUGUGUGUUAGUGGAAGCGUCUGGAAAGGCGCGCGAUACAGGGUGACAGCCCCGUACACAAAAAUGCACAUGCUGUGAGCUCGAUGAGUAGGGCGGGACACGUGGUAUCCUGUCUGAAUAUGGGGGACCAUCCUCCAAGGCUAAAUACUCCUGACUGACCGAUAGUGAACCAGUACCGUGAGGGAAAGGCGAAAAGAACCCCGGCGAGGGGAGUGAAAAAGAACCUGAAACCGUGUACGUACAAGCAGUGGGAGCACGCUUAGGCGUGUGACUGCGUACCUUUUGUAUAAUGGGUCAGCGACUUAUAUUCUGUAGCAAGGUUAACCGAAUAGGGGAGCCGAAGGGAAACCGAGUCUUAACUGGGCGUUAAGUUGCAGGGUAUAGACCCGAAACCCGGUGAUCUAGCCAUGGGCAGGUUGAAGGUUGGGUAACACUAACUGGAGGACCGAACCGACUAAUGUUGAAAAAUUAGCGGAUGACUUGUGGCUGGGGGUGAAAGGCCAAUCAAACCGGGAGAUAGCUGGUUCUCCCCGAAAGCUAUUUAGGUAGCGCCUCGUGAAUUCAUCUCCGGGGGUAGAGCACUGUUUCGGCAAGGGGUCAUCCCGACUUACCAACCCGAUGCAAACUGCGAAUACCGGAGAAUGUUAUCACGGGAGACACACGGCGGGUGCUAACGUCCGUCGUGAAGAGGAAACAACCCAGACCGCCAGCUAAGGUCCCAAAGUCAUGGUUAAGUGGGAAACGAUGUGGGAAGGCCCAGACAGCCAGGAUGUUGGCUUAGAAGCAGCCAUCAUUUAAAGAAAGCGUAAUAGCUCACUGGUCGAGUCGGCCUGCGCGGAAGAUGUAACGGGGCUAAACCAUGCACCGAAGCUGCGGCAGCGACGCUGAUGCGUUGUUGGGUAGGGGAGCGUUCUGUAAGCCUGCGAAGGUGUGCUGUGAGGCAUGCUGGAGGUAUCAGAAGUGCGAAUGCUGACAUAAGUAACGAUAAAGCGGGUGAAAAGCCCGCUCGCCGGAAGACCAAGGGUUCCUGUCCAACGUUAAUCGGGGCAGGGUGAGUCGACCCCUAAGGCGAGGCCGAAAGGCGUAGUCGAUGGGAAACAGGUUAAUAUUCCUGUACUUGGUGUUACUGCGAAGGGGGACGGAGAAGGCUAUGUUAGUAGGGCGACGGUUGUCCCGGUUUAAGCGUGUAGGCUGGUUUUCCAGGCAAAUCCGGAAAAUCAAGGCUGAGGCGUGAUGACGAGGCACUACGGUGCUGAAGCAACAAAUGCCCUGCUUCCAGGAAAAGCCUCUAAGCAUCAGGUAACAUCAAAUCGUACCCCAAACCGACACAGGUGGUCAGGUAGAGAAUACCAAGGCGCUUGAGAGAACUCGGGUGAAGGAACUAGGCAAAAUGGUGCCGUAACUUCGGGAGAAGGCACGCUGAUAUGUAGGUGAAGUCCCUCGCGGAUGGAGCUGAAAUCAGUCGAAGAUACCAGCUGGCUGCAACUGUUUAUUAAAAACACAGCACUGUGCAAACACGAAAGUGGACGUAUACGGUGUGACGCCUGCCCGGUGCCGGAAGGUUAAUUGAUGGGGUUAGCGCAAGCGAAGCUCUUGAUCGAAGCCCCGGUAAACGGCGGUACCGUAACUAUAACGGUCCUAAGGUAGCGAAAUUCCUUGUCGGGUAAGUUCCGACCUGCACGAAUGGCGUAAUGAUGGCAGGGCUGUCUCCACCCGAGACUCAGUGAAAUUGAACUCGCUGUGAAGAUGCAGUGUACCCGCGGCAAGACGGAAAGACCCCGUGAACCUUUACUAUAGCUUGACACUGAACAUUGAGCCUUGAUGUGUAGGAUAGGUGGGAGGCUUAGAAGUGUGGACGCCAGUCUGCAUGGAGCCGACCUUGAAAUACCACCCUUUAAUGUUUGAUGUUCUAACGUUGACCCGUAAUCCGGGUUGCGGACAGUGUCUGGUGGGUAGUUUGACUGGGGCGGUCUCCUCCUAAAGAGUAACGGAGGAGCACGAAGGUUGGCUAAUCCUGGUCGGACAUCAGGAGGUUAGUGCAAUGGCAUAAGCCAGCUUGACUGCGAGCGUGACGGCGCGAGCAGGUGCGAAAGCAGGUCAUAGUGAUCCGGUGGUUCUGAAUGGAAGGGCCAUCGCUCAACGGAUAAAAGGUACUCCGGGGAUAACAGGCUGAUACCGCCCAAGAGUUCAUAUCGACGGCGGUGUUUGGCACCUCGAUGUCGGCUCAUCACAUCCUGGGGCUGAAGUAGGUCCCAAGGGUAUGGCUGUUCGCCAUUUAAAGUGGUACGCGAGCUGGGUUUAGAACGUCGUGAGACAGUUCGGUCCCUAUCUGCCGUGGGCGCUGGAGAACUGAGGGGGCUGCUCCUAGUACGAGAGGACCGGAGUGGACGCAUCACUGGUGUUCGGGUUGUCAUGCCAAUGGCACUGCCCGGUAGCUAAAUGCGGAAGAGAUAAGUGCUGAAAGCAUCUAAGCACGAAACUUGCCCCGAGAUGAGUUCUCCCUGACCCUUUAAGGGUCCUGAAGGAACGUUGAAGACGACGACGUUGAUAGGCCGGGUGUGUAAGCGCAGCGAUGCGUUGAGCUAACCGGUACUAAUGAACCGUGAGGCUUAACCUU